UGACCAAUGGGUCUCAAACUGAAACAGAAAUAUUCAAACAGCCCUGGUGGAGAAUCGCCUGCUAGAGUCUUCAGAGAAACAAAUCUCAAGCAGCAGCAGCCAA